UUGUGUGUGUGUGUGUGUGUGUGUGUGUGUGUGUGUGUGUGUGUGUGUGUGUGUGUGAGACCGAGCGGUGCGACUGGCGCUUGUAGUCCCGAGAAGAAAAAAAAAAUGCGGUAACUAAUUGUGCCGGUGUGUCGCCUCUUCCUUGGGAGGUUUAUGUCGUGAGAAAAAAAACAAACAAAAAAAAAAGAAGUGGGGACAGGACAGCUCCACCGCAUUGCUAUCUGAGCCCCCCCCAGUGACCCCCGAGGGAGGGAGCGAACAUCCAUGCGCGUCGAAAAACAGGUGUACAGUUUCAUCACACGGACGCAGCACUAGCUUCCGCAGCGCCCGCUAGCUCCUUGUGUCUGCACUUCUGCGCUUGUUAGAGCGAAUGAGCGAUGCCCUUUUCUCACAUGGAAGAGGCUGAUUGCCCGACGAUGUGUUGAGGCAGCGGUCGUUUUAAGGCAUUAAACGGGGUAAGAUCUGGGAAUAAAGCUUGACCAGGAGGAGAGACUUAUCCUGAGCAGAGGGAAGAGGAAGGACAAAACAAAUCAGAAUAUAAGAAGAGAAGGAGAAAGGAAAAGGCACUGGGGCUCACGGCUCACCUAUACCUGACUCUUCUUAGCAAGUCUCCAGUCUUUUGGUUUUAUGACGGAAAGUGUAUCCCCCUGCAGUAGAUCAGUAAGAAGUGCUCUUCAAUAUGAAUACAGAUAGCGGAGGAUUCGCUCGCAAAAGUGUGGCCUUGUCACUCAUACUCUCUCCCAUGAAGAGGGUCCAGAGCUCACCAAAUCUAGGCACAGGGAGUGAUUCUCACUCAUCAGACUUGGAAUCCUGGCGGUCACGCAGUGUAACAGAUGGCCUUAAGAACGGAGAUGCCAACAGCUCAUCUCUUGCUGCCAAAGGCUUCCGCAGUGUCAGACCCAACCUACAGGAGAAAAAGUCUCCAACACAGGGGCCUCCCUCCCCUGACCCCACAGCACGGCACUCCCCCUAUCGCUGCCACAGCUCAGAAUCACUCGACUACCUGUCAGGCCUAAUGCCCAAGACUCUAUCGCCCACUCCGUAUGUUCCUAGUGGAGCUAGCAGCACAGCUGGUGCAGUCAGCGGGCCGAGCCUUACCGCAGUCAGCAGUGCGAGCAUCAGUGGCUGUGUGUCACCCUCGGCUUCCCCCCUGACGGUGUCAGCCCUCAGCCACUACUCAUCGUCCACGGCGGGUCUGCUGGAUGAGCUGCAGAUCUGUAGCCUGGACUCACCUGGCGCCUCACCCACACCAUCGCCCACCCUCAGCCAUGUCUCUACCUACACUUCCACUGCUGGCCUUGAUGAUGUGCUAACAACCUCUGUGGCCUCCACUGCUGCAGCAUCCACUUUCACUAACGGCCAGGUUCUCUCUCACGCUAUGAAUGGAAGUACUAGCCAUCCACAGAGGCCCCUCUCUCCCCCAUCCUACCCUCCUCCCCCGUCCUCACUCCACACUGGGCUCCAGAGACAGAGCAGGAGUUCAGAGGGCAGCGAGUCAGUCACCAGAGAGUCUGUGGUGUCGGGCCACACCAGCGUCAGCAGCACUGUGCCCAUUGCCCACUUCUCAGAAGAAGAGAAAAAGGUGUCCGUCAUUAAAGCCCCUCAUUAUGAAGGCAUCGGCCCUGUGGAUGAGUCUGGCAUCCCUAUUGCCAUCCGUACGACGGUGGACAGGCCUAAGGACUGGUACAAAACUAUGUUCAAACAGAUCCACAAGGUUCACAAAGCAGAUGAUGACUAUUCUGACACAUACAAUGCAACAUAUGCUGUCAUUAACAAUGACGACUACAGCCUGUCGUCCAACACCACCAUGGCCCACCCUGCUCCCCGGACACAUACAUACAGGCCACUCGCCAAAAGCCCCUCGGACAACGGAGGUCAUCUGGGGCCUCGGGAGCCUUCGCCAUCCCCUGUACCCCCUCCACCUCCACCUAUGCCAUCUCUCCUCCAACUGAGGGCCAGAGACAGUGACCGUGAUAAAGACUUGCCUGACGCGAAUGAAUGGGGUCCUCCCAACAGGAAAGUGGACACACGAAAGUACCGUGCAGAGCCCAAGAGUAUUUUUGAGUAUGAGCCUGGGAAGUCCUCUAUUUUGGAACAUGAAAGACCAACCUAUGAUGACAUAGAUUUAGAGAACGAGCCUUGGUAUAAGUUCUUUUCCGAGCUGGAGUUUGGGCGGCCGCCUCCUAAAAAACGGCUGGAUUAUAAUCCAGACAUCUCCGCUCGCCAGCGCAUUGAGAGAAGCCCAAGAGAGAGCAGACAUUUAUCAUCACCAUUUACACCGACAUCCCUGCACAUCGCUCCUGCUGACAAGGCUCCGGAGAGACCUGCAAGUGCUGCCAGUGACUACAGGAAAAGAAGGAAGUCUGAACCGUCAAGUUCACAAGUGAACGCUCAGUCUCAGAGCAGAGCUGCAACUUCCCCUAAACCAGUGGAUGUCUACAGACCCAGCAGCAGCUUAAAGAAACCUGUUAUUCGUUCCUCACCUUCCUCACCCUCCAGAGCCAAAGGUGGGGACGCAUGCAACAUGUAUUCAAACAGUUUGACCUCCUCAGGUCCUCAUCAGCGCCCCUAUCCGCCCCCUGUCCCCUCUGACCCUGUCCAUUGCCAUGAGGAUGCCAGUCAGGAAGGCAGCUCCUCCUCUAAACAGUCUGUCUGUUGUACGAACAGUUGGCAGGCAAAACGCCAGGAUCCUGAGACAUGGAGCAGUGCGGAGGAGGCACCGCCCUCUCCUGGCAAGCUCCGGUCACGCAGCUGUGAUGACUUACUAAAUGAUGGGCAUUCUGGCUCAGGCGGGCGCAACGCCACCCGCUCAGAAAGUGCCGGGUCACUGGUUUGUGAUGGGAAUCCCUCAGGUUCGACUGGAUCCAUCUCCACUCGCUCAUUGCCUCGCCUCCACCGGCGACGGGCACAUGAUUCACCGGGCUUUCUCCAGCUCUAUCGUAAAAUGCACCAGAUUGACCGAGCUCAGCUCAUCCCAUCUGAAGUAAUCCGCUCAGUCCGUGCUCGUAUCCUGGAGCUAGAACGACAACCUCACCUGCAUCGGCAUCGCCUCUCUCCUUGGACACCCUCUUGGGGAAUGGAGGUGCCACGCGAUAUGGUGCCAAACCGCAUUUCUGAAUAUGAGCGCCUUAUUAAGAAGUCCAAAUCCAUGCCAAACUUGGGUGAUAGUGAGAUUCCUUCAGGCACUACCACACCAGGUGGCUCGUCAUCUAGAGCCAGCAGUGGUGGUGGUGUCACACCCAGUUUUCCAAAACGCCGUUUUUCCAUAGAAUCUUUACUUGAGGAAGACAACAACGGCAACAGUGGAACAGUACCUCACACCAUGGAUCACUUGCAUCGACCUCGUAGCCCACCUGAGGGCCAGCCUCGGGUUGGGCCAGAGCCCGUCCGUGGGCGGCCCUUUCCUGCUGUUCCUGUUCCCCGAGGCCCUCAAGCCAACCCAGACUACUCUGACAGUGAACAAGACGCUAUUGCGUCAGACCUCAGUGACUUCAUCCAGGUGGAGGGCUCCUCAUUUUGCAGUGAGAGUGACUUUGACCAUUGCUCUCUAACCUCCUCUGAGAGCUUGUACGGCUCUUCCACCAUUCAUCACCAUCACCACCUCCGUCAUCACCACCACCAUCACCACCACCACCCUGGUCACCAAAGUCUAGGCCAGAGCCAGGGCUACCAACACCGCCACCUCAUCAGCAGCUGCAAAGGCCGCUGCCCAGCCUCUUAUACGCGUUUUACAACCAUGCUUCGUCAUGAGAGAGAACGAGCGCGCCAGGAGCACCAGAGACCUUCACAACAAAGGAGCCAUUCCCAAAUCCAGAGCUCACAGUCCCAGCAAGCGAUGUCCAAGCUGGCCUUCCUGGUCAGCCCAGUGCCUUUCCGCAGGAAAAAGGGCUCACCACCUACCUCUAGAAGAAGCAGUGGUGGCGGAGAUCGAGGUAGCAGACCCAAGUCCAAACAGGCCAUUUAUGAAGCACUAGAUGCAGCCUUGAGAGACAUAUACGAGCACAUUCAAACAGAGAGGGGCCACAGAGGAACUAGGGCACCUGAUGAUAGUAUCCUAAGGAGAAUACUGGCCGAACUGCUCCCAAAUGUGCCUGAAAGAAGCUCCUCAUUGCGGGGGAGGAGGGGGUGUUGGCACGGGGGUCACUCCUCUGCAUCUUUGUACCCAGAUGGGAGCCCCACUGGGUAUGCCUCAUAUAGAGGGGAUACCUCCACACCACAGCUACAGUCACCACAGCUACAGUCACCAAUCAGUGCCUGUUACGGACGUCACACAGACACCUCAAACAAUAAUGAAUAUGGAGAGGAGCAGGGCAAUGGAAAUGGUCUCUGUUAUUCAGACCAGGAUGUCUCCAGGUGUUAUUCCACCAUGGAUGGACGCCAGACACCCCAGAGUAGAAGACCUACUCCUGACAGAGAGGUCUCCCAUAAACAGAUGACACAACUUAUUCUGUUCUCUCUCCUCCAUCAGAAACAGCCUGCAAGAGCCAUUUAUGAUUUUAAGGCACAAACAGCUAAGGAGCUGACGUUUAAGAAAGGUGAUGCAGUGAACAUCAUCCGACAGAUAGACAACAACUGGUAUGAAGGAGAGCACCGCGGACGGGUUGGAAUAUUCCCCAUGUCAUAUGUAGAAAAGAUGCCGUCCUCAGAGAAGCAGCAGCCGAUUCGUCCUCCUCCGCCAGCACAUGUCAGGGAGAUCGGAGAGGCAGUAGCUCGCUACAACUUCAAUGCUGAUACUAAUGUGGAGCUAUCUCUCAGAAAGGGUGAGAGAGUAAUUGUGAUAAGGCAGGUGGACCAGAACUGGUAUGAGGGGAAGAUCCCAGACACAACCAAACAGGGCAUCUUUCCUGUGUCAUACGUUGACAUCGUCAAGCGUUCCCCAGCCAAGAGCUCCGCCCACCACAUAGACCCACACGGUUACCCUGGCAACAGGACACCGAGCUCUACACCUAUCAAGCCUGUCUACCAUCUACCCCUAUCCCCCACUACUCGUGAUCUCCCCUCCCCUCACCCCCCGUUGAGAAGGCUUGACCUGCAAGCGAUCACCAGUGAGUGGCUUUUCCUCACAAUGGACCCAUCGGCAUCCACUCCAGCUCACUCCCUCACGACCACCCCUGUACCACCCACACCACCCCCUCUCCCUACCGACUUUCCACCUUUCCUAAAGGCUCAGGAGCCUAAGGCGCUCUCGCCUGUGCCAUCACAAAGAGGCUUUGCCCUGCCGCCCCAGACAUCUUCCAGAACUCCUCCUUUAAAAGAAGGGAGACACAGUUUAGGUCAAACCCCAACUACCUUGCCUUUCUCUCAACCUGAACCUCAUCCUCCUCCUCCUCUUCCACCUCCUCCUCCUCCCCUUUCUCAUUCCUCAUUUUGCUCUCCACUGCCUGACUCUUCACUGCAGUACAACAGUGGCAAAGGAGUAGCACAAACAUUACACUUUCCUAAGCCGGAGGUUUUGUCCUGCACAGUGCCAGAGCCAGUGACAUCACCCACACAGGUUCCUCUGUGCCAUAAGAUAAAUGUAAACAAAAGCAACAAAAUCCCUGAUAUUGAGCUGCACGUAAAAGACCCAUAUGAUGAGCUCCUGUCCAUGAUUCUGGACAGUUCUACCAGUGCAGAUGAUGCUGACUUUUCAAGAUUGUCUCCGGUAGAUUCCCCACCAGCUACGCUAACCAGUAAAUCCCAAAGCAGAUUUAAGCAAAAAUCAGAAGAAUCCUGUCAGCCAGCACUGAAACCCACAGUAGUCACUCCAGUCAGCGACUUGGCAGGCAAGUUAAGGCUAAAGGCAGAAGAAUUCCAUCAGCCAGCAGUAAAACCCACAGCAGUCACUCCAGUCAGCGACCCAUCGGGCAGUGUUCGGUUAGAGAUGCAGUUUCACAAGCCUGUGACAAUGGAGCCACUUUCCAUAAGUUGGGGAGAUCAGUCAGAAACUCUGAAUGAGCAACCCGUUGAUUCUCAGAGACCACAGUCGGUGAAAGGAUGGGGAUAUACUGAGUUGUUCAUUGAGGAAGAGGAAGAAACUAGAGAGGACAAAGAGGACGACAAUAAAGGUGUUAAUGAGAGACUCAGUCCGCAGGCUGAUGUCUCUCCUUCCACUCUGACACAGCUUCCUCAUCCUGGCCUCCCCACACCUUCUGUACCAUCACCUCUGACUUCCUUACCUCCCCCCUCCUCCUCCUCCUCCUCCUCCUCCUCCUUCUUCUUCUUUUUCUUCUUCUUCUACUUCUUUUUUCACUCCUUCUUUAUCUUCUUUCUCACGGUCACAACAGCAGGAUCGGAUCACCAUCCCUCCCUCCCCCCCUGUAUCCCCUCGGCCCCCGUCCCUUCCUCACCUCAUGACAUCACCCCUACCUCCGGCCUCUCCGUCUCCGCCUGUCUCACCACCUCCCCUCCACUCCCCUCACCCCUCUCCAAACGUUCCCUCACAGUGCUCUGUCUCAAGCUCUCCCUGUCUUUCUCAUCCGAUCACAUCCUGCCUCGACUCAGAGUCGCCUAUUUCCCUUCCCGCCAUGUCUCCCCCUAAACCCAUCUCUCCUCCCCUCGCCACUCCACGCUCUCCCCCCACUAUACCCCAUCCAGGACGUAGGUCUCCCAAGGUGAAGGUAAAGCUGUACUGUGGAGAUGAUGCCGCUGAUUUAGAUCAUGUUUGUGAUGAUUUUGACAAGAACACAUCUGAUAAUACCUGUCUCUAACAUAGCUGAGACUAUGGUUGAAGUCAACUAAUCAAUUGACAGAAAAUAUUUGUAUAUGGUUUUUUAAAAUCUGAUUUAAUAGUUUGUGCUGUUUAUACGUGAAAAAUGCCAUGACAAGUUGAUGCUUUUCUUUGUUUUAUAUAAUUGUAAAUUGAACAUCUUUAGUUGAACAAAAAUACUAUUUGAAGAUUUCUCCUUGGGCUCUGGUAAACUGUGAUGGGCAUUUUUCACUACUUUUGAGCUUCUCAACAGAUUAACAGAUAUGGAAAUUAUUUGUUUGUUGUAGCCGUGGCUGAAACUACUACGUCAUUUGUACACUAACAUACAUUUAUAAACUUUCAUUUAAGUGCUAUGGAGAUGAUUUAUAGACACCAGAGAGCCUUUUUGAAUUAGCGUGUGUUGCUGCUGCUGGUUGCACUGUUGUGUGUUUAGGAGGAUUUUCAUUGGCAUCGGCAUGUUGAUGGAUGAAGUUUUACAGCAUGUUAUUAGCCUUUGUGGUUGUGUGUUCAGUUCAUAGUGAAGGCUGCUGACCCAGUUACUGUUGAAGAUUAUCGGUGUGUUGCUUCUGGUCUUUCUGCCUGUUAAGCAGGAUCCAGUUGUUGGUGGUAAACCUCCUCGUAGUCCCAUCUUGUCCCGGAGGUCCUAUCUCCCCAUUAGAGGUCGAAGGGUAGGGGGGCAUGUCUUCAUUCAACCAUGCUCUGACUGCACUCUUGUCUCUGUGCAGGAAGGACGUCUUUAGAAAUACCCAUGUCAUUCAUGACUGAUGAUCACCACAUAUUCUAUAGCAUGUGUAGUAAAGUAUGCUGUUUGACAAAUGCAGUAAUUUUUCUUUUAAUAAAGAAAUUUAAGUAAUUCUGAUUUUAGGCCUGAGUGUUUGGUUGGUUUGUAUGUUCAUGUCUGUUUUCAAAGGAACUGGUCACACCUCUGCGUAUGAAUUAUACCUUUUCAUUCAGCCUCCUCAAACCGUAAAGAAAAGCCCUCACAAAUACCACAUUUUGACUUUCUGUCUGUCUGUUUCUGUUUUUCCUCACAGCGAUUAGUACAGGAUGCACUCCAAGGUGGAGGAGACCCGUACCAGGCCGUGUACAACUAUCUUCCUCGCAACGAGGACGAGCUGGAGCUGAGGGAGGGCGACAUUGUGGAUGUGAUGGAGAAGUGUGAUGAUGGCUGGUUUGUCG